rnacentral:rRNA from 1 species
UGGGGAAUAUUGGACAAUGGGCGAAAGCCUGAUCCAGCCAUGCCGCGUGUGUGAAGAAGGUCUUCGGAUUGUAAAGCACUUUAAGCUGGGAGGAAGGGCAGUAAGCGAAUACCUUGCUGUUUUGACGUUACCGACAGAAUAAGCACCGGCCAACUCUGUGCCAGCAGCCGCGGUAAUACAGAGGGUGCAAGCGUUAAUCGGAAUUACUGGGCGUAAAGCGCGCGUAGGUGGUUCGUUAAGUUGAAUGUGAAAGCCCCGGGCUCAACCUGGGAACAGGAUCCAAAACGGGCGAGCUAGAGUAGGGGAGAAGGUGGUGGAAUUUCCUGUGUAGCGGUGAAAAGAGUAGAUAUAGGAAGGAACACCAGUGGCGAAGGCGACCACCUGGGCUCAUACUGACACUGAGGUGCGAAAGCGUGGGGAGCAAACAGG